rnacentral:rRNA from 1 species
GCCUAUGACCAUACCACCCUGCACGCACCCGAUCUUGUCUGACCUCGUAAAGCUAAGCAAGGUUGGGCCUGGCUAGUACUUGGAUGGGAGACAAAACACUCUCUUGUCUGCU